AGUGAACGCUGGCGGUAGGCCUAACACAUGCAAGUCGAACGGCAGCACAGUAAGAUCUUGCUCUUACGGGUGGCGAGUGGCGGACGGGUGAGGAAUACAUCGGAAUCUACUUUUUCGUGGGGGAUUACGUAGGGCAACUUACGCUAAUACCGCAUACGACCUACGGGUGAAAGCAGGGGAUCUUCGGACCUUUCGCGAUUGAAUGAGCCGAUGUCGGAUUAGCUAGUUGGCGAGGUAAAGGCCCACCAAGGCGACGAUGCGUAGCUGGUCUGAGAGGAUGAUCAGCCACACUGGAACUGAGACACGGUCCAGACUCCUACGGGAGGCAGCAGUGGGGAAUAUUGGGCAAUGGGCGCAAGCCUGAUCCAGCCAUACCGCGUGGGUGAGGAAGGCCUUCGGGUUGUAAAGCCCUUUUGUUGGGAAAGAAAAGCAGCAGGUUAAUACCCGGCUGUUCUGACGGUACCCAAAGAAUAAGCACCGGCUAACUUCGUG
rnacentral:rRNA from 1 species